CAGCUAGUUGGCGGGGUAGUGGCCCACCAAGGCGAUGAUCGGUAUCCGGCCUGAGAGGGCGCACGGACACACUGGAACUGAAACACGGUCCAGACUCCUACGGGAGGCAGCAGUGGGGAAUUUUGCGCAAUGGGGGAAACCCUGACGCAGCAACGCCGCGUGGAGGAUGAAGUAUCUUGGUACGUAAACUCCUUUCGAUGGGGAAGAUUAUGACGGUACCCAUAGAAGAAGCCCCGGCUAACUUCGUGCCAGCAGCCGCGGUAAUACGAGGGGGGCAAGCGUUGUUCGGAUUUAUUGGGCGUAAAGGGUGCGUAGGCGGUUUGGCAAGUCUUAUGUGAAAUCUUCGGGCUCAACCCGAAGCCUGCAUAAGAAACUGCCGGGCUUGAGUAUGGGAGAGGUGAGUGGAAUUUCCGGUGUAGCGGUGAAAUGCGUAGAUAUCGGAAGGAACACCUGUGGCGAAAGCGGCUCACUGGACCAUAACUGACGCUGAGGCACGAAAGCUAGGGGAGCAAACAGGAUUAGAUACCCUGGUAGUCCUAGCCCUAAACGAUGAUUGCUUGAUGUGGCAGGUACCCAAUCCUGCCGUGUCGAAGCUAACGCGAUAAGCAAUCCGCCUGGGGAGUACGGUCGCAAGGCUGAAACUCAAAGGAAUGACGGAA
rnacentral:rRNA from 1 species